GACGAACGCUGGCGGCGUGCCUAAUACAUGCAAGUUGAGCGAUGAAGAUUGGUGCUUGCACCAAUUUGAAGAGCAGCGAACGGGUGAGUAACGCGUGGGGAAUCUGCCUUUGAGCGGGGGACAACAUUUGGAAACGAAUGCUAAUACCGCAUAACAACUUUAAACAUAAGUUUUAAGUUUGAAAGAUGCAAUUGCAUCACUCAAAGAUGAUCCCGCGUUGUAUUAGCUAGUUGGUGAGGUAAAGGCUCACCAAGGCGAUGAUACAUAGCCGACCUGAGAGGGUGAUCGGCCACAUUGGGACUGGGACACGGCCCAAACUACUACGGGAGGCAGCAGUAGGGAAUCUUCGGCAAUGGAAGAAAGUCUGACCGAGCAACGCCGCGUGAGUGAAGAAGGUUUUCGGAUCGUAAAACUCUGUUGGUAGAGAAGAACGUUGGUGAGAGUGGAAAGCUCAUCAAGUGACGGUAACUACCCAGAAAGGUACGGCUAACUACGUG
rnacentral:rRNA from 1 species